rnacentral:rRNA from 1 species
UACGAGGGGAGCUAGCGUUGUUCGGAAUUACUGGGCGUAAAGGGCGUGUAGGCGGUACCAUAAGUCAGAUGUGAAAGCCCUGGGCUUAACCUAGGAGGUGCAUUUGAUACUGUGGAACUAGAGAUCGGGAGAGGAAAGCGGAAUUACGAGUGUAGAGGUGAAAUUCGUAGAUAUUCGUAAGAACACCAGUGGCGAAGGCGGCUUUCUGGCCCGAUACUGACGCUAAGGCGCGAAAGCGUGGGGAGCAAACAGG